rnacentral:miRNA from 1 species
UUUGUAUUACGUGCGGAAAUUGUUACCAUUUUUGAGCUGAAAAUAGUAACAAUUUUCGCACGUAAUAGCCU